rnacentral:rRNA from 1 species
GAUGAACGCUGGCGGCGUGCCUAAUACAUGCAAGUCGAGCGAACAGACGAGGAGCUUGCUCCUCUGACGUUAGCGGCGGACGGGCGAGUAACACGUGGAUAACCUACCUAUAAGACUGGGAUAACUUCGGGAAACCGGAGCUAAUACCGGAUAAUAUAUUGAACCGCAUUGUUCAAUAGUGAAAGACGGUUUUGCUGUCACUUAUAGAUGGAUCCGCGCCGCAUUAGCUAGUUGGUAAGGUAACGGCUUACCAAGGCAACGAUGGGUAGCCGACCUGAAAGGGUGAUCGGACACCCUGGAAGUGAGACACGGUCCAGACUCCUACGGGAGGCAGCAGUAGGGAAUCCUCCGCAAUGGGCGAAAGCCUGACGGAGCAACGCCGCGUGAGUGAUGAAGGUCUUCGGAUCGUAAAACUCUGUUAUUAGGGAAGAACAAAUGUGUAAGUACCUAUGAACGUCUUGACGGUACCUAAUCAGAAAGCCACGGCUAACUACGUG